GUCUUUAUGAAUAUAAUUUAAAGUCUAAUCUGCCCAUUGAGUAAUUAAAAGGCCGCAGUAAUUUGACUGUGCAAAGGUAGCAUAAUCAUUAGUUUUUUAAUUGAAAGCUGGAAUGAAUGAUUGGAUGAAAUAUUUACUGUCUUUAUUUAAAUGAUUUAGAAUUUAAUUUUUAUGUUAAAAAGCAUAAAUAUUUUUAAAGGACGAGAAGACCCUUUAAAGCUUUAUAUAUAAAUUUAUAAUAUUUAUAUUAAAGGAAAAUUAAUUAUUAUAUAUUUAUAUAUUUUAUUGGGGUGAUAGAAAAAUUUAUUAAACUUUUUUUAAAUAUUAACAUUAAUAAAUGAAUUUAUGAUCUAUAAUUUAUGAUAAAAAGAAUAAGUUACUUAAGGGAUAACAGCGUAAUGAUUUUUUAGAGAACUUAUCGACAAAAUAGAUUGCGACCUCGAUGUUGAAUUAAGAUUAUUUUUAAAUGAAGAAGUUUAAAAAUUUGGUCUGUUCGACCAAUAAUUCUUA
rnacentral:rRNA from 1 species